rnacentral:rRNA from 1 species
UACGUAGGGUGCGAGCGUUGUCCGGAAUUACUGGGCGUAAAGAGCUCGUAGGUGGUUUGUCGCGUUGUCCGUGAAAACUCACAACUCAAUUGUGGGCGUGCGGGUGAUACGGGCAGACUGGAGUACUGCAGGGGAGACUGGAAUUCCUGGUGUAGCGGUGGAAUGCGCAGAUAUCAGGAGGAACACCGGUGGCGAAGGCGGUGAUCUGGGCCGACACUGACGCUGUAGAGCGAAAGCGUGGGGAGCGAACAGG